AAAGCAGGUGCCCCAAAGUUUCUGACUUUGGAUUGGCAAAGUUUCUGAAGUCAGACCAAACUAAAACCUUCACGGAAUCAGAGGGACAAGGGGAUAUGUAGCACCAGAAUGGCACCGGAAUAUGCCGGUGACAGUUAAAGCAGAUGUUUAUAGCUUUGGAGUUAUGUUGUUGGAAUCACGUGUUGUCGAAAGAAUGUGGAUUCGAGUCUUCCAGAGGAUGAAGCUGUUCUCGAACAGUGGGUUUACCAAUGUUUUCAGGACGGUGAUAUGGACAAACUUGUGGGUGAUGAAAUCGUCGAAAAGAAACAGUUAGAUAGGAUGGUUAAAGUGGGACUUUGGUGCACUCUUGAUGAGCCAUCCCUCCGCCCUUCAAUGAAAAAGGUCCUCCUCAUGUUGGAGGGGACAGUCGAAAUCCCAAUCCCUCCAAGUCCUACUUCUUUUUUUACUGCUAUAUGAGCUGCGAUUUGUGGUUCAGAAUAAGAGAUUUUUCAGGUCAUGUAUUCCUUUUCUUUAUAAAAUUGCUAUAUGUUUCCGCAGCAUUUAGGAGCUUCCUGUUGAUUUUUCUUCUAGUGUUAAUGCCUGUAAAGUUGUUUCCCAUCGUAUCUUAGAUAUUUUCUUUUAAAAAAAAAAGAUAUAUAAAGAGGAGAAAAGAAAACGUUAGCAUGAAAGCUUCACGUGUUCUUAGUAAAAACAACGUUUGUUGGUCUGAUGUAAUCUCAAGAGUGAUCUUUGCUUGUUUUUGCCCCUUCUUCUCCUAUUCCACAACGCAGUUUCUUGCCUAAAAAGCAAUUGUCCAUACCUACACACAAGUACAGUUCAGAGGCAUAAACGACAGGAAUACCACUCGGUAAUUGAUCGUGUAUCGAUGACGGAUCAUGGAUUCGUCAAUAUAGAAAUUAUGCCAGUGAUUGUAUCAACGAUGCAAAAAAAAUAAACAACUUUACCUAAUUUUUAGAUGAAAAUAAACUAAUGAACUGAUAUAAACAUAAUUUGUUAUGUUUGUUGACUAUUUUUUUAAUACAUGUUUAUUUAUAUUAAAUUAACAAGUUGAUAUUAAAUAAUAUUAAGUUAAAAAAAAACAUAUUAUAUAUCAUUAAUUUAAUCAUAAAAUCAAUUAAAAAAUAUCUUAAUACAUUAAAAAAAACUCCUAACCACCUCAAGUUGAGCUACAUUAAAAAAUAUCUUAUAAGUCGAGGAAGUAUGCUAUUAUAUACUCUUAUUGCUUUUUACUUUGUUCAUACUUACCUCAAGUUUAGCAUUCAGAUCAAUCUUUGCAAUAAUAAUUUGUUUUUGAAUAAACUCCUGAAUGACCAGUAAUAGUUGUUUUAUGUUGGAUUGUGAAGUGUCCACGGUCGCCCUUAUAUAUUAACUUGUAUAACACACAUAAUAAAAUUUCCAGCCUAACUGAUUAAAAGCUGAACCCUAAAAACUAGAAAUUUAGGAGUCCUAAUUUACGGUUUUCACUUUACAUUUAAAUGCAUCAAUUUCGCGUUCAAUCGAUUUGUUAUGUAUGGGAUUCUCUAGAGUUUGUUUAAUUCUAUAUUUAUGCCAAGUAAAUCAAUCCUUUAAAUUAGUCAGUUUCAGUCAUGUAUUUAGAGAAGCAAAUCAGAUUGCAAAACAUUUAGCAGCUAGCGAGAGACUAGAUGUGCACCUGCGCGCUGCGCCAUAGGGAUGAACUUUCUUUUUUUAAAAAAAAAAUGUUAAAAAAAGAGAGUAAAAUUCUUUUUAAAGAAAAGCUAUCCUAUAAAAAGGAUUAAAUAAAAUUUAAUUAACUUAUUAAACUGUAACUUUGAGAUAACUCAAUUAAAAUAAAAAUAAAAAAACUACAAAACCUUUUUUAAAAAAAAGACAGAUAUCAAAUGGUGAAUUAAAAAAAUAAAAAAAUAAAGUAAAUUUUUAUAAAAAUAUAAAAAAGCCUUUAAUUUUUUUUGUUAUCCAAAAAAAAGAUAAUGCAGCGCUUCUAAUGACACGAUAAAAAAAAAUUUUCGGUUAUUGAGAGGUGUUGAACAUGCCAACUAAAUUGAAUUAUAUUUUAUAUUUAUUUAAAUAUUAAAUUGUCCCUGAGCCAAACUAAUCAUAACAAAAAAAACUGUUAAGAAAAUAUAUUAAAAAAAACCUUUAAUUUUUUUUGUUAUCAAAAAAGGGUAAUUAAAUCAUUCUUGCAUGCUGUAGAAAUAUAAAAAAAAAUGGAAUUGUUCCUAAUCAAUUUAAUAAUAAUAUCUUAUGAAAAGAUGGUAUUACCCCAAGAGUAAUCCUUAUGAAUGUCUUUUUUUAAGAAGAACAAAGUCAUCCAUGUGUUCUUUCAAUCCAUAGUAUACGGAGUCUUGUGCUACAAUAAACAUGACUUUCAACAACAUUUUCAAUUUCAAUUCAUAAUGCAAUGAGUUUUUCUAAGUUCUUUAUUUAAAAAAUUAUUUUUUUAUCUUAAUUUCAUAUCGUGUUAGUGGUAAGUUGACUCAAGUUUUUUUUUUAUAUAUUUUAUUUUUUUAAUUUCAGUCUUUAAUAUUAGAUUUUGAAUCUUGAGCUUUUUAAAAAAAAAAUUAUUUUUUUAUGUGAUGGUAUCUGAUUUUAUAUUUCAGGUUAUAUAUUAGUCAAAUUAAUCUGGGUUGACUCAUAUUAUAACCGCAUAAAAUUUUUGUUUUGAUAAUUUAGAAAAAACUUAAGGGCAAAAAAAUGUAGAAUGCAUAUGUUAGAGAUCUCCCAUGAAGAUUUACAUAUUUACUUUUUAACAGAACAUUUUUAACAAAUAAAUUAUAAAACCCCUCAAAGAGCACCCAUGGCUUUGAAGCUAGUCAGAGAAGACAUUUUUGCUGAGAAGAGUCUGCCAGCAAAUGCUCGGUUGUACAUUGACUCAGUCCCUGUUGUGACCACCUUAAUUAUACUCUGAAUAUAGUCAUACAGCGGAACCCUCAAUCGAACUCACCUUGUUAUUACAAGAUAAAGAAAGACCGGUUACAGCCAAGGACAAGAGAUACAUUACUUUACUCAUACGUCCAAUUGCUGUUCCUGCAAAAUACGUGUGGAAAAAACCAUAGAAUCAAAGGUCCAUUGAGUUCCAAUUUUCAGUUUUAAGAUUAUUCAUUUAGCUAGCCGAGAGUAAAUCCAUCUUCUAUGAAGUUUCACGCAGGCCAUUCAUAUCCAAACUAGUGUAUUUACGAAAAAAUCUCUUAAAUUCGAGACUAAAAUGAAAUCGUGAGGAAGCAAAUAAAAGUUUUAUUUCAAACAAAACUUGAAAGUUCCCAUAUAUAGUAUAAUUUCAGGAAAAAUGUGCCUCGGAAGGAAUGUUCUUGCAGGAAGCUAAACAUGAGAACAGAGGAAGAUCCAAGUUGAACUGGAGAAAGAAAAGUACAACCUUGUUGAGAUUACCCGAAUUCAAAAUCCCUACUUUUCACAUAUAAAUUAUAACAUGAUCUUUUUUUAUUAUUGUUAACGUUGGUGUAUGGGUUAGCUUGUGCUCAUCCCGACUAAUCUCACAUGCCUUUAAUUUAAUGACCAUGUAAGCUUUUAAUGAUUACGAGAGAAUUCAAACUCGUGAUUAUUGAAAAACAAAUUCAAAACCUGACUAAUUAAGUUGUCUAUAAGGGUUAAUUAUAACAUGAUCUUUUGUUAGAAAGUGACGUUGCUAUCUAGCCUUUUGCAUCGAAGGACAUGAAUAUAAUCCAGUUGUUCUGCCUUGCCCUAGUAUUAUGGCGGGGUAUUAGCAUUAGCACCACAAUUGGCAUCUCUCAAGUAGUUGAAGCUGUCUGCAGGAAGCUAAAGAUUGUGUUAUCAAAAGCAUAUUGAUGGUACUUGACAAAUAAAAAAGAAUCUGCUGCAGAAAAUUAGAACCAAGAACAGUCCAGGGGAAAUUAGCAAAUGGACUGUUCAAAUGGGGCGUCGCAACUGCAUUGACUUUGAAAGCAUACAAGUAAGCGCAAGGAUUUCCACUAAUUGGUAGGGAACCGCGGUGGAUUUUAUGGCUAGACUUUCAUGUUCUGAGUGCCUGGCUCGACUGCUGGAACCCAAAGAAAGCGACUGGAGUGCUCGAACAAUAGACAUCCUUAUAUUGACACUCCCAUACCACACAAGAGCUAAAUCCCUAUCCAUGGCUUCUAUCAUCUUUUUUCUUCUUCUCGCCUUAUCUUUUACAGCUUCAGCUCAAAGACAGACCAAUAUAACCCUAGGAUCUUCUCUAACACCUUUCACAAUCUCCUUAUGGGUGUCACCUUCCGGUCUUUAUGCUUUCGGAUUUUUCCGACAACGCGACGGCUAUUCUAUAGGGGUUUUUCUACCUUCGAUUUCACCAAGGACUGUUGUGUGGACUGCUAGAAGGGAUGACGCCCCAGUCCCCAGGAAUGCGACCUUGCUCUUCACCAGUGAUGGCAGGGUUGUCUUGAGAUCAGCACAAGGGGAUGAGACUCCGAUAGUUUCUGCUUCCCAGCCAGCUUCUUUAGCUUCUAUGUCUGAUUCAGGCAACUUUGUGCUAUAUAAUUCUGAUCGCGAGAUUAUAUGGCAGAGUUUUGACCACCCAACAGAUACCCUUUUGCCAACUCAACAGCUCAGAGCAGGGGCAGAGCUGGUUUCUCCUGUUUCAGAAACUGAACUCUCAACUGGUAUUUACCGGCUCAAGAUGCAAACUGAUGGCAACCUUGUGCAGUAUCCUGUUAAUACUCCAGAUACAGCUACAUAUGCUUAUUUUGCAUCUGGUACUAAUGGAGAUGAUGUGACUCUAAAUCUUGAUCCGGAUGGCCGUCUCUACCUGCUCAAUUCCACAGGUUUCAACAUAAAAAACAUUGCAGAUGGAGGAUAUCCCACGAAAGAAACAAUUAAUAUUAUGAAACUUGAUGCUGAUGGGAUUUUCAGAUUAUAUUCACAAAAUCUAACACUGAAUGGAAACUGGUCAGCUGUGUGGUCAUCCACAAGAGAUAAGUGCCAACCCAAGGGAUCAUGCGGUCUUAAUGGAUAUUGUGUCGUGAAGGAUCAGGAAGCUGAAUGUAUUUGUCUUCCUGGAUUUAAGUUUGUUACCCAGGGAAAUUGGACUUCUGGCUGUGAGAGGGAUUUCGAUGCUGAAAGUUGCAAGGACAAGAAUGGAAGUAGCGCAUACACCAUGGAAGAGCUGUCUAAUAUUGUCUGGGAAGAUGUUUCAUACUCCGUUUUGUCAUCAACAACGAAAGACAAUUGUAAGCAAGCCUGUUUGGAAGACUGUAACUGUGAAGCAGCAUUAUUCACUGAUGGGCAGUACUGCAGAAAGCAAAGGUUUCCUUUGAUAUUUGGGAGGAGAAACUUAGAAAGUUCGAACUUGGCUUUCGUCAAGGUGGGUAGACCCAUAUCCACCAUGGACAGAAAAGAGCCUAUAACCGAGAAGAAGAACCUUGGCACUGGCAGGACAAUCCUAAUAAUAAGUGGUUCAUUUGUUGCUUUUGGGCUUGCUAUGGUGGCGAUUUUCGGAAUCAUCGUUUACAGAUAUCAUGUAUUGUCAUAUAAAAGGGUGCCCAAUAAUGAUGGUACUGCAUUGAAUGAGGUAUUUGCUCCUCGAGCUUUCACUUAUGCAGAGCUAGAAAAUGUUACUGGUGGUUUCAAGGAAGAAAUUGGCAGGGAUCAUUUGGGACAGUUUAUAAGGGAUAUAUCAAGUACUCGAAGGUUGUUGCUGUCAAGAGACUGGAGAAAGUUCUAGCUGAAGGGGAAAGAGAAUUUCAGAAUGAGAUGAAAGUCAUUGGGAAAACACAUCACAGAAACCUAGUCCGUCUGCUCGGCUAUUGCCAUGAUGAACAUCACAGGCUCCUGGUAUACGAGUACAUGAGCAAUGGCUCCCUUGCUGACAUACUCUUCUCACUUGAAAAACGACCUUGCUUCCCUGAAAGGUUGGAAAUUGCUCGCAACAUUGCAAGGGGUAUUGUUUAUCUACAUGAAGAGUGCGACACUCAGAUCAUCCACUGUGAUAUAAAACCUCAGAAUAUACUAAUAGAUGAAAGCAGGUGCCCCAAAGUUUCUGACUUUGGAUUGGCAAAGUUGCUGAAGUCAGACCAAACUAAACCUUCACGGGAAUCAGAGGGACGAGGGGAUAUGUAGCACCAGAAUGGCACCGGAAUAUGCCGGUGACAGUUAAAGCAGAUGUUUAUAGCUUUGGAGUUAUGUUGUUGGAGAUCACAUGUUGUCGAAAGAAUGUGGAUUCGAGUCUUCCAGAGGAUGAAGCUGUUCUCGAACAGUGGGUUUACCAAUGUUUUCAGGACGGUGAUAUGGACAAACUUGUGGGUGAUGAAAUCGUCGAAAAGAAACAGUUAGAUAGGAUGGUUAAAGUGGGACUUUGGUGCACUCUUGAUGAGCCAUCCCUCCGCCCUUCAAUGAAAAAGGUACUCCUCAUGUUGGAGGGGACAGUCGAAAUCCCAAUCCCUCCAAGUCCUACUUUUUUAACUGCUAUAUGAGCUGCGUUUUGUGGUUCGGAAUAAGAGAUUCAUCUGCAGAGUGUGGUAUUUUAUUUUUCAGGUCAUGUAUUCCUUUUCUUUAUAAAAUUGCUAUUUCGUACUGAGUUCCUUUAUGUUUACGCAGCAUAGCUUCCUGUUGAUUUUUCUUCUAAUGUUAAUGCCUGUAAAGUUGUUUCCCACCUUAUCUCAUGUGUCGGGAUUAUGGCUGGAAAACUGAAACCUAUAUUUUGGCCAGGUUUCUAGAUGGGUAAUGUUAUUCUCAAGUCUCAACAAAUACUAGCA
rnacentral:lncRNA from 1 species